rnacentral:lncRNA from 1 species
GGUGCGGUGCCCAGAUGAGUGCAGGGAGCUGUGAUGUGGAGCCAGCCUCCCUGUGCACACAGCCCACACUGAGGCUGAAGGCCCAUCCUGUGAGGAACAAUGCCAGCAGCCAGCAAACUGCAUUAUGCUGUAUUAUGAGCCGGUAUUUACCAUCUGGCCCAAUCACAGUAACAAGCUGAGCACUUCUGAAUAAAAGACAUUUUUCCUCAAAAUUUAUACUGCCUCCAGUGCCAGUAUUCUCUAUGGACCCUGAGCACAUAAUUAUUUCAUGGGGUAUCCUGCACAUAGAUCCAAGCAGAUGCCGGGACAUCCUGCAGAAGUACCCACUGAGGGUUUAGGCUUUCCAAGGCACACAGCCUUUCCUCUUCUGCUGUAAAGAAUGUACACAAACAAGAAGUAAACACAACUUUUCUGCUCAUCUGAGUCCCUGUACCUGAGCAUGAAUGAUCUGAGGGAUUAAGAACGUGGGGAGAAGAGCCUGAGUUGAGCUGAAGAGCAUGCAGGUCGUGCUUGACAUCUGGUUGCUGCAAAGACUAACACAAAAAUGUAUGAGAAAUUUAAUCGUGUUCCAAGAGCUGCAUCCCCGUUGAGCUGUGAACCCAGGCUUCCUUUGGCCUUUUUUGUGUGACAGUAUCUGUCGAACAACUUCUUCAAGAUGUCUCCUGGCAGCUUCUACCGGAUGCAUGCCAUUAUCUACUGUGCUGUCUCCUUGGGAAGGACCUCCACAUCCAACAGGUCAUGCAUUCUGUCAGCCAUAUCAGCUUGCCUAAGAAAGAUCCUGCCACUCCAUGUGAACUUGCUCUCCUGAAUGCUGUAAACCACCAGCACUCACAAAGGCACAAAUGUCAUGCACCUUUCUGAGAUGUUCCUGUCCAGCUCCAGGUUUCCCUCUCUCUUUCAGUCUUCAUGCUUCCUUCACACAACAAGGUUUUCACUUUCUUUCUGUUUCCCUUUAGUGCCACUCUUUUAGCCAAGUUAUUCUUCACCCUCCCAUCUUCUCCUAACUGACACAUCUGUUCACAUGCUCAAACUAUCACUUCUUUGAGGAAAUGCCAGUUCUCCCUCACUUCUUUUCUUUCUUCUCUACCAUGGAAUCUGUCAAGAGUAGUUUUCUCCAUUCAUUUAUCCUCAGAUACGCAGUCCUUGAUGAGAAGCUCGGCGUAGGUCCCAGGGGCAUACUUUGUUAUUAUUAUUUUCAUAAAGAACAACAACAACAACAAAAAUAUCCAGACACAAGUUAAAAAUUGUAAAUCUUUCGCUUGUCUUUAUCGGAGAUUCCAUAUAGACUGGGGAAAUCUUCAGCCUGAGCCUUGGAGAUGAACAAAUAAAAAAAUCAAAUACAAAUUCAAUAAAUAAUAUAAUGAGCUCUUCAAACCUUCUGGAAAAGUUUAAUAAAUCCGAGAUACUUAGACACAUGUUUACCAUAUAACUAUUUGUAGGAACAUGGUACGUAUCAAAAAGUAAAAUGUACUUGCAUUCCUGUAGAGACAUAUUCUAAGGUGUGAGAAGAUUGUCCCAGUCAACAAAUGUCCUUCGCUUUCAAAGGCUGAACUAUUUUCUCAUAUAAAUAAAAGGACAAGCCAAUAAGUGAUGGUUAUUUCAGUGGAGAAAAGUAACAGCUAAUCCUGGAGUUGAUUUUUCAUCUCAGACUGCAUUUGACAGCUUUGAAUUCAUCCUAAUUGUGAAAAAACACAAGAUGGUUAAAACAUCCUGUGUAAACAAGAAUGAAGACAUUGAUUGAAAUAAGCUUUUGGAAAGAGGCUGUUGUUUGUAACACAAAGAAAUAGAAGAUUAUAUCCCAAAAGAAAAGUGUUCAAUGUUAUUAAAAUUAUAUUUCCAAUUUCUUUCCUUCCGUUGAUUUUUUUUUUAAUUGGAGGGCCAAAAUAUCCUCAGGACAGCGAGCUGCAGUCAGCAUUUUGCAAGAAGAAUCUUUCCAUUGGAAGACUUCCAACCAGGUCUCCAUUUCAGUUCUGCAGAACAUAUAAUUGAUUUUUCCAUAUAGUUAUAGUCUAUUAGAUGCAUUUAAAUCUUUACAUUGCUGCCUGUUUGAUGUGGGCGACGUAUUUUAUCCACUGUAAAUGGUAAUUUCUUCUUUCCAGUUUUCUAGGUGGAAUUCUGCAGUUACUAUUCACAAGCUAAGGUCCAGACUUUGGUGUUGGAAUUCUUGCUCUUUCACUGUGGCAUAACCUACCUAUGCUUGCAGCCACACAACUGUUGGGGUGACAGCAUGCACACAAACAGCUA